GGAAAGACAUAUAUUACCAGAAAUUAAUUCUGACACCGAAGAAGACUCAUCGGAUGAUUCCGAUUACGAGCCUUAGUUUUAAUUUAGAGGACGUAAUCCAUUAAUUUGUAAUAAAAAAGACAUUUUCCUUUAUAGUUUACAUAUGUUGAAUUCAUAUUUCAGUUAUUUUAUAUGAAUUUUGGUGAUAUAUGAUGAACAGGAAGUUAGUAUGGUUUACAUUAAACCUUCUGUUUUUUAAUGUAUUUUACUUUAGCCGACGAAAUACACCAUAAUUCGUCGGCCUAAACCAUCUUAGCCGACGAAUUAUAGUAUAUUUCGUCAGCUAAACCAUCUUAGCCCACGAAUUAUAGUAUAAUUCGUCGGGUAAGAUGAGGUUAGCCGAUGAAUACCCUAAUAUUUCGUUGGCUUUAUUUAUUUUUUAAUUUUUUUAUUACAUACUAUAGCCGACGAAUAAUAUAUUAGGGUAUUCGUCGGCUAAACCCUAAAAUUUUUUUAUUACAUACUAUAAUCCUAUCUUCGGUGGUUAUUUUUCGUAAAAUUUUUAUACGACUUCUUGCGUCUCAUCGGUUUGAAACUAUUUUCAGUUGGAGGUCAGGCUAAAAUACGUAAUUUAGACGGUCCAAUGACCUUUUCCGUGCGUUUAGGGGUUUAACUUACGGGAUUGACCGUCCGGAUCGAGCCCUUAACCUUGUCGGAUCAAGUUGAAUUUUUUCCCAUACAUGUAUUUUAUCAUGAUGGUCAGAUCUGACGGUCGGAUUUCCGUUUCUCAAGUUUGAUCAUCACAAUCAGAACAUGCCUGCUAAUGUUGUAUAACUUGUUUACCAAGUGUUUAAGUAAAUGUUCCGUUUCAAAAACAAACUAUACGUAGAACCUUCAAACGCAAAAAAGUUGUGAAAUAAGAUAUGACCAGAAUGGUGAAAUACGUCUACGGUUGAAAAAUCAUGGUAUUCCGGUAAAGUCUCGGUGCUGAUAGUUGUGGUCAAUGCAAUUUUCCAUUCUUUAUCCAUAUGGGUAGCCCUAUCUUCGGUGGUUAUUUUCCAUAAAAUUUUUACAUUUUUCCCUAAUUUAUGUUUAGGAGAUUAAUUAUCCCCAUUUUGGGGUACAAAUGCUUUGUUGAUAAUGAACUUGAAGCUUGCACUGUGCACUUGUUAUAUUUCAUGACUAGGUACUGCAUUCAUAGUGGCCUCACUUCAUAUUUGGGGGUGCUUUUGUCUUUUAGUGUUCAACUCUACCUUACAUUUUGAAGAAUCAAAGUUCAAUUUUAAAACUUUUAAUUCAUAAUUAUAAUUUUUUUUACUUAUAUUUUAAUAUAUAUAUAUAUUCUUCAUCGAAUUUUUAAACAUAAGAUACAAAAUACAAAAUAGAAAAACCUAUAUGAAA
rnacentral:lncRNA from 1 species